GUGUACUUCAUCUGUAUAUUUGUGUGGCUUGUAAGCAUGUAUCACCAUUGUAGGACUAUGGUGUGGGGCAUGGAGGGACUUAAUGCAUUAUUGAUUUACUGAAACGUUUUGCACAUGUCGCCCCUCUGGUUCGCCUCACUACUUUCCCUGCUCCACACCAGCAUGCCUGCGCCCACCCGCCAGACACACAGGCAGGCUUUAAAUAUUUCAUAAGCCGGUUUUCAUUAAUAUAAUGGGAAUUAUCCAAGUCAGUAAAUCUAAUUAUCAGGUGUGAAGUUCACUCACCCAUCCCUUUCCCUCAACCUUACCUUAGCCCAAACACAUAAAAAAACGUAGGCUCUACAUAAUCCUCCGCUCUCCACGUCUACCGUCGCUCUCCCCUGCUCAUUAUUUUCUCAAUACCUUUUGAUGUCCUUCUAGUCCUCCCUCUCUAUUCUCAUCCUCUCCUAGUCUCUCCAUCUGGAACAGUUUGUGCAUAUAUUAUGAAGACAUUUUGUGACAUUUUGGUUCGUUUUGGUCUUCGUUAAGGGUUUUGUUCAUCUGUUUGUGCACACAAAAUGUUUUGACGAAGCAAGCCAAAGUUCGGUAGCCGAAGUCUACACCCCUUCGUUGGCGAUUGGUCAACUGUAGGGGUGACGCGAGUUUCUUCUUAUCGAUUUAGUCCGAAAACUCAGUGUGGAUUCAACAUGGCGAACGACAACUUCAAGCGUUGCUUAGCCAAGGAGGUACUGAAGUAAGCAAGACGGAAAGCAACAUGCCAUCUUCACAAGAGAAUGAGGCACAAACACCAGUGAAUGGGGACAACACCAGGUUUUGUUCUCUGCUCCCCAGCAUUGCCUCUUCACCUGCCCCCAGCACUGACUGGUCAUUAACCCCCAACCCAUCUCCCGCACUGAGCUGCAGUGCAGAAUGGAAAACCAUCUCUAUGAAGGACCUGGGAAGCCCUAUCCUGGGCCCACAUCCAAUACCUACUCCACUGGCUUGCUCCUCACCAAUGCCACAGAGCAGCAGCAGUAGUAGCAGGACUGUGAGAAGAAGGGAGAAAAGAGCUGCAGACUCAGCCCAUGACACAUCACUCGCAAAGGCGUUGCAAAGACCGAUUUCAAGAUCUGGAGAACGUCAUGCAUUGAGCCACCCAGAAGGCCCUGGCACCUAUAGCUGAUUUCAUGGAUGAACUAUUGCCAAAACUCUGGUUGGAAUUUGAUCACCAGCUGCAUGAAUUUGUGCAUGACUUCAAGAAGAAGACAUGGACCGAACGACUGGGACCACAGUGAAAUUAACAACUUGUUCUUGUUGUUCAGACAUCUCAGGAGUCAGACUCUAGACAAUUUUAUUCAAUAGACACUUUUGUUUGCAUGUCUUUUUCACAGACACAUUUGUACUAUUCUACAAAUAAUUGCAUUUGUCUGACACUUUAAUGAUAUUUCAUUGAUGUGUUGUUUACAUGUCUGUUCUUAGCAGACACUGUUGUAUUGUGGUUUACUUUCAGAGCCCAGAUGCAAGAAUAAGGUUAAUUUUUUUGUGUGCUGAAAAAGCUCUGUUUCUUCAUCUCGAUACAAGGUGUUUCAAUGCAUUCUAUUUGAUAAUCAAGUACUGACAAUGUUGAGAAGAGCUGUGUGCUGCAGACCUUACAGGCUAUCUUUUGUGUGGUGUAGUUCAAUCUAAUCUAAAUUAAUGCACACAGACAUCAUAAAAAUGAGUUGUAGUUGUGGAAGGCCAGACAAGCCUUCAGAAUGUCCUUAGCCUUUUCAGGGUUACACUCGGUUAGCCGAACAAGAGUCCUCAUCCUUGCAGCCAUGAUGCCGAAAGCAUUCUCUAUGACAACGAGAGUGGCGGUAGUUGUAGGAACACCCAGGUUCAUUGAGAUGGACACCUGUGAAUGAGAGAUAAUGAGAAUAUAUGUUAGAUAUAAAAUAUAGCCUAUUUGGUAAAAAAAAAAGAAUACAAUUUUCCAGGAACCAUAUUCCAAAAGCCUUAAUAAAAUGGCAUUUCUCAUAUAGAUGUGCAUACAUGUAUGCAGUAACAAGGGAAAUUAGAAACAGAAAGAUUGAUUCCAACAUUCUAUUAUCAACAUACCUGGAUAAGGGUGAAUCAGUUUUUCAUGUAGGGGGCUGCAUCUCCCAGAAAAACAUGGACUUGGUGUUAUGGUGCCUGGCAGGACAACUGGUGGUGGUAUAUCAAGAGUCUUCUGCAGCAGUUUGGACCCAAAAUAACUAUCUUGAAACACUCAACCCUUGACCCCAAAGAACUCUCUUGAAACACUCAACCCAUGACCCCAAAGAACUCUCUUGAAACACUCAACCCUUGCUCUCUCGGCCGUAUGUCCCUACAUCAGUCUCUGUAUCUUUUCUAUUAUAUGUCUUGCUAGGUAAAACAAAUCUAGUAGAUCCCGGGCAAGAGGUGAAGGAGAGGGUGAAGUAUUGGAGGUAAAGGGGGAUGGGUGAAGAGGGGUUAGGCAGAGGGUGA